UCUUUGGGAUGUUGAUGAGUAGUGGUUUCGGUUUUGUGCAACUUGUUAUGAAUUGUGAAAUGAGAGCUUAAAACAUUCUAACUACUCAUGAAGCAGACUUUGAUAGUAUUAUUAGUCUAUUAGAGAUGUUUUUAGUUUCUGCAUUCUACUAACUCAGAAGGGUUUGUCUCCUUUUCAAUAUUGGGAAGUACAUGCUGAAGGAAUAAAAGCGGUCAACAAAGGGCUUACCUUUUAAUUCGUUUUAUUUAUUCUCUCUUCUUUUGCUUUAUCAGAUUUGAAUUGAUUUUGUAGCUGUAUUAAGCAUUGAUAUAUUGGUAGAUCCUCAGUCCAGUUUUACUUGAGUUCUUUCGUCUUUGACUAACUUGCUGGACACAAAUGUUAAGGGCCUUGAAAAUGAUGAUAAUGGCAUCUAAUCAUCAGAAUAGCAAUUGGAGUAGAAUUUUCUGCUUCAUAAUAUUAUCUUUUAAUGAUUACAGAAUAGGCCAUUUAGUUUAACUACAUACAACAAUAUGUUGCUUUGUCUUUACUUUGCUAUGUACUUAUUUGCCAAUUCUAUUCCUAGAGAUUUUCGAGAUUGAUGGAACCAAAUAUUCUGAUCUUGCCUUCAAUGUAGGGAUGAAAUGAAUGAAGG
rnacentral:misc_RNA from 1 species